AGCAGCCGCGGUAAUUCCAGCUCCAAUAGCGUAUAUUAAAGUUGUUGCAGUUAAAAAGCUCGUAGUUGAAUUUCGGGGUUAGUAGGUUGGUCAUGCCUCUGGUAUGUACUGAUCUCACUGAUUCCUCCUUCCUUAUGAACCGUAAUGCCAUUAAUUUGGUGUUGCGGGGAAUUUGGACUGUUACUUUGAAAAAAUUAGAGUGUUUAAAGCAGGCUAACGCUUGAAUACAUUAGCAUGGAAUAAUGAAAUAGGACGUUCGAUCUUAUUUUGUUGGUUUCUAGGAUUGACGUAAUGAUUAAUAGGGAUAGUUGGGGGCAUUAGUAUUCAAUUGUCAGAGGUGAGAUUCUUGGAUUUAUUGGAGACUAACUACUGCGAAAGCAUUUGCCAAGGAUGUUUUCAUUAAUCAAGAACGAAAGUUAGGGGAUCGAAGACGAUCAGAUACCGUCGUAGUCUUAACCAUAAACUAUGCCGACUAGGGAUCGGAUGAUGUUAAUUUUUUAAUGACUCA
rnacentral:rRNA from 1 species